UCCACGUCGUCAGUACCAGCUGACAUUCAGAAGAGGUGUGGCUAGUUAACGCGGUCAUCGAAUUUCUGACAACAACGAAUUAAAAAAAGAGGUAAAUAUCGUCUAUACCAAACGGUCGUACUUGUCCAAUUUAAGCAUAAAGCAUUUAGAGUGACGUGCGGUGAAAAAGCAGAUUUUCUGUCGGUAAAUUCCUUGGAUAGGCUACUUUUUAUACCAAUGUACCCAUUAAACAAACAGUGUAUUCCGCCGAUUAAGGCGGGUGGUAAAGCUUGGAGAGCGAAUACUGUCUGCUUAUUCCUGCUCGCUGUCGCUCGAAUUUUAUCUUCCGUCACUGUCUAGAUCAGCAGCAUGAUGCUAACAGCAACGAGUUUCAGGUCAAAGCCUCAAAGCAGUACAACACGAGCGUGCCUUCGGAACUUUAAUGCAUGUCAAGUUCGGAAAAAACAAACAUUUCAAGCGAGAUUGGCCCGAUCCGAGUAUCCAGAUCUUCUAAAGCCGCUUAUCUAUUUAUUUGACAUACUUUAACUUGCUGCAAGGGAAUAAGAUACUUCUCAAAUAUCUACCAUUAAGGCGAAGAUGAGUGGAUACGUAUUAGAAACAGCGACAGCCUACAAACUGAUUCUGAGUACGGCGUAGCCGCCUCUAGCAAUUUUAAUGCUUCGUCGCUGUCUCUGGCCAUAACUCAUAGCUAUAAAAGAAAAAGGCCUCCUAUCAGGACAUUGCUUUACGUGGAAGAUACCAGGGGGAGGGGGGAUUUCUCCCGCUUUGUUAAAGGGGUAACAGCAAGCUGCCAGACAGUUUCUACGAAUGCGUCAACAGCGCGGUGUCGCACCGACAUACAUUGUUCGAUCCGAUAAGUUGUAAACGGUCAAAGCGGCCCUCAUCAACUAGACCCAUACUGUCUAGUGGCAUGUUGACAGAAUCUAAUAAGGCGGUAAACACUGUGUCCUGUCGGCUUAAUGAAGCUUUGUUCUUCUAGACGUUGGCUCGUUUAAAACGAAUUAAAGGAAUUGUAACCUGUAUUAGCUGCUAAACAUGUUGUCCUUUCGGUACAAACCAU